rnacentral:rRNA from 1 species
UACGUAGGGUGCGAGCGUUGUCCGGAAUUACUGGGCGUAAAGAGCUCGUAGGUGGUUUGUCGCGUUGUUCGUGAAAACUCACAGCUUAACUGUGGGCGUGCGGGCGAUACGGGCAGACUGGAGUACUGCAGGGGAGACUGGAAUUCCUGGUGUAGCGGUGGAAUGCGCAGAUAUCAGGAGGAACACCGGUGGCGAAGGCGGGUCUCUGGGCCGAAACUGACGCUGAGGAGCGAAAGCGUGGGGAGCGAACAGG